rnacentral:ncRNA from 1 species
CCUCUGGCUGAGUUAGUGAUCGGCUGGAGAUACAUUCUAUAUAUUUUGGAGAUACACAUGUCACUAAGUACUGAAGCAAAAGCAAAAAUCCUAGCUGAUUUCGGCCGUUGUGAA